AAUUGUUAUUACAUCUUUUAAAUAUUGUUUUCCCAAUGUCUUCUUAUCAUCCUUAUCUGUUUCUUUCGAUGCUAUAUUUACAGAAUGACUUUCUAGAACCGUUAUCGAGGAGGAGGUUGAAGGGGCAGCAAAAUACGCAUCAACUCCGGACGGUAAGAUAUUAAUUUUCCUUCUCUUAGCAGUUGGUUCAUCAGAGACGUGUCUUGCCAAUUCGCAUGUACUUCGAUUGUCCUUUAACUUGCAAGCACUAAAAUUGAUCGCAGAUUGCGCCUUUGCUGAUUUUUCUUUCUCCUUUACACCCUCAUCCAAAUACAUAUCGAUGUUAAAACUAUUAUCAGUCUCUUUUGUUGCAACACUGUUUUGUGCUCUUUGCUUCAGAGGCAACGUCGUUUCAAAAGUAGCACCUACGGCAGGCAGCGAUAUAUCCUCGUUUCCAUAUUGUGCGCGACUUAUACCAGGUUGUGGCAGCUGCAAAAGUGUCAUAAUUUAAGAAACUAUCGACGAUCUUUCUUUAAAUUGCAUUUAAGGUCCUGUCAGAUUGUGACGUCAGAGACGAGAAAACACAAGCUAAAAAUUCUUAGAUGCCAUUUCGAAAUAAAUAAAAGAUAUUUCGAUGAAACAGCACUUCAAAUAAGAAUUUUUACCGUAUAUUUUCUCGUCUCUGACGUCAUAAUCUGACGUGGUUCCGCAGCGAGGACCCACGACUCUUUUAGGAUAAAAGAAACUUACGGUAUUUUCCGCGUUUCUGAAAAAAUCUCGCAAUUCUUUCGUGAUCAUCCCGAAGUUCGUAAACUUCUUUAUGUAGGGUCUGAGCCAGGCGGACAAUUGUUUUUUGAAAUUUGGAUUUUCGAAUCUGCAAUCGCAGAGUAUCACGGCGCCGUAAUCGUUUUUGUGUCUUAUUAUCCUGCCGAUAGCUUGAUUGACAGCACGUGACGCUUCAAGUUGAUACCAUUCUUGCCCAGUUAAACUCUGAACGCGAAAAAUUUGUUCAUUACUCUUCUUAGAGAUCAUCCAUGUUAUGAUCUUUUAAUCAAAGUUUACUACCUCUUUCUCUGUAGUCCUUAUUUCCUCCAAGUAUCUUUGCUUCAGCAUAACUCGCGGAUCCUUUAAGGGCGGAAACGGCAGACCGAUGAUUAAUACAGCCCUUCCGUUUGCAUUAGCGAAAUCCAGACCCUCGCUGACCUUUCCUCUGCACACCGCCAUAAAAACGGCCCCCUUGCAAGACGGAUCUCUAAUUUUUUGGUAACAAGCAUCAUCGAAUAAUGUCAAAAUGACGUCAUUUGCUACUUUAAUGACGUCAGUUUGCUACUUGGGUUUGUAAAUGCUUUAAAUAUAUUGUUCACCUUACGGUCGGCAAUCUGCGUCCACAAACCCAUAUUUUGCCAAUCAUCUCUGCACUUCCUCAUAAUCGGAUACGAAGGGAAAAAUAUCAACAAUCCAUGGGGAACAAUGCAACUAAAGUUGUACACUGUUCUUCCAAGAGAUGCGAUAUACUUUGGAUCAUUCCUGAUGAAUUGAGCGGAUGGUUGUCUGGACCCUGACUGAGAACACCAACGCACACUUGUUGAUUCGUUACAAUAUGUGGAUUUUCUAGCUGAACUGUUAUCGGUAUACCUAGUUCCGAUAUAAAUGGUUUCAUCGGAGACAAGGUACCACUUGUGAGGAUCACUGAACGUAUCCCCUGUUCUACCAUUUGCUCCAUUCUAAAAAAAAAAGAAAAGAUAUAACUGUAUUGUAUG